AGAGUUUGAUCAUGGCUCAGAUUGAACGCUGGCGGCAUGCCUUACACAUGCAAGUCGAACGGCAGCACGGGAGCAAUCCUGGUGGCGAGUGGCGAACGGGUGAGUAAUACAUCGGAACGUGCCCAGUUGUGGGGGAUAGCCCGGCGAAAGCCGGAUUAAUACCGCAUACGACCUGAGGGUGAAAGCGGGGGACCCGCAAGGGCCUCGCGCAGUUGGAGCGGCCGAUGGCAGAUUAGCUAGUUGGUGGGGUAAAGGCUCACCAAGGCGACGAUCUGUAGCUGGUCUGAGAGGACGACCAGCCACACUGGGACUGAGACACGGCCCAGACUCCUACGGGAGGCAGCAGUGGGGAAUUUUGGACAAUGGGCGCAAGCCUGAUCCAGCCAUGCCGCGUGCGGGAAGAAGGCCUUCGGGUUGUAAACCGCUUUUGUCAGGGAAGAAACGCUCCGGGCUAAUAUCCUGGAGUAAUGACGGUACCUGGAGAAUAAGCACCGGCUAACUACGUGCCAGCAGCCGCGGUAAUACGUAGGGUGCGAGCGUUAAUCGGAAUUACUGGGCGUAAAGCGUGCGCAGGCGGCCAUGCAAGACAGAUGUGAAAUCCCCGGGCUCAACCUGGGAACUGCAUUUGUGACUGCAUGGUUGGAGUGCGGCAGAGGGGGAUGGAAUUCCGCGUGUAGCAGUGAAAUGCGUAGAUAUGCGGAGGAACACCGAUGGCGAAGGC
rnacentral:rRNA from 1 species